UACAGAGGUGGCAAGCGUUGUUCGGAAUUACUGGGCGUAAAGAGCGUGUAGGCGGCCAGGUAGGUCCGCUGUGAAAACUCGAGGCUCAACCUCGAGAUGUCGGCGGAAACCAUCUGGCUAGAGUCCGGAAGAGGAGAGUGGAAUUCCAGGUGUAGCGGUGAAAUGCGUAGAUAUCUGGAGGAACACCGGUGGCGAAGGCGGCAUCCUGGACCAAUUCUGACGCUGAGUGAGCGAAAGCCAGGGGAGCAAACGGG
rnacentral:rRNA from 1 species